rnacentral:rRNA from 1 species
UACGUAGGGACCAAGCGUUGUUCGGAUUUACUGGGCGUAAGGGCGCGUAGGCGGCAAUUCAAGUCAGCUGUGAAAUCUCCGAGCUUAACUCGGAACGGUCAGCUGAUACUGUUUUGCUAGAGUGCAGAAAGGGCAACCGGAAUUCUUGGUGUAGCGGUGAAAUGCGUAGAUAUCGAGAGGAACACCCUGCGGCGAAGGCGGGUUGCUGGGCUGACACUGACGCUGAGACGCGAAAGCGUGGGGAGCAAACAGG